AUUGAACGCUGGCGGCAGGCCUAACACAUGCAAGUCGAGCGGAGCGGCGGACGGGUGAGUAAUGCCUAGGAAUCUGCCUGGUAGUGGGGGAUAACGUCCGGAAACGGGCGCUAAUACCGCAUACUAUCAGAUGAGCCUAGGUCGGAUUAGCUCGUUGGUGGGGUAAAGGCCGACCAAGGCGACGAUCCGUAACUGGUCUGAGAGGAUGAUCAGUCACACUGGAACUGAGACACGGUCCAGACUCCUACGGGAGGCAGCAGUGGGGAAUAUUGGACAAUGGGCGAAAGCCGGAACCAGCCAGGCCGGGUGUGUGAAGAAGGUCUUCGGAUUGUAAAGCACUUUAAGUUGGGAGGCGUUACCCGCAGAAGAAGCACCGGCUAACUCCGUGCCAGCAGCCGCGGUAUAC
rnacentral:rRNA from 1 species